GAAGUCAAGUUAGCGGUGGCGGUGGCGGCUGCUCAUGUCAUCUCCGGCUACCUGGAGCGGCGGGUUGGAAAGGGGCGCCCUUGCGCCGGCGAGCUGAGAAGUAAUUGGAAGGCUGCAGGCUGGGUUAAAUAUGGUGUCCAGCUGAUUGCAGUCUUGGCAUGGCAGUUAUCUGGAAGAAGUAAAAUGUGUUCCCAUGAAGCACAUUCUCUGUUUUGCCAUGAUGUUCUGUAUCUGACAUGAGUUACUUCUUUGUACGAUCUCAGCAUUGGUAACAAAACUGAAAUAUGUAAUGCCAAGGAUCUUUCUUAGACAGUGCUGGUGAAACAUAUUUAAUCCUUGGGCCUUUUCACUGUGUCAUAUUCCGUGUAUCACUAUCAUACUGUAUGCUGCAGUUGGCAAAACAAUACUGUUAUAAAAUUGAAGCAUUGUCUCAGUGUUAAUAGUUGACAUGGGUCAGAUUGGGAACAACUGCUAAAAUAUACCAGUGCUAUUUCAGUCCUGGAUUUCAUGUCUAUCUUAGCAUCUCCAUCACUGCAAAAUGUGCUUCCCAGAGGUGUGAACUGCUCUAUCUCUUCAGUGUGUUCAUGUCUGAUAAGCGUUUUGUGCUUCCUGUAGCUUUCCUCAGUUGCAUAACUUUUGUUUUGAUGGUACUAAUUUGAAGUGUAACUUUGAACUUCCAACUUCUCAGUCCUAUCUUAAAAGCAUUCCUUGGAUUCUGCUAUGACAUGAUAUUAUCUGUGAAAUCAUUUAGGUGGUAAUUGUCAUAAAUUUCCAAAUCCAA